UACGGAGGAGGCAAGCGUUAUCCGGAAUUAUUGGGCGUAAAGCGUCCGUAGGUGGCUAGUCAAGUCUGCGGUCAAAGACUGGGGCUUAACCCUGGAAAGGCCGUGGAAACUGACGAGCUAGAGUGCAGUAGGGGUAGAGGGAAUUCCCGGUGUAGCGGUGAAAUGCGUAGAGCUCGGGAAGAACAUCGGUGGCGAAAGCGCUCUACUGGACUGCAACUGACGCUGAUGCACGAAAGCUAGGGGAGCAAACAGG
rnacentral:rRNA from 1 species